GGAAGCCAGUGCUGUUAAUGAAGAACACAGAGAAACCACAACAGAGAGUGAGAAUGAUCCCACUGCACAAGGGGAGACUGCAGCACAUGCUGAUGGAAUCCAAGCCAGCUCACAGACAUGUAAAGAGGGCGACGCAGGACUGACAGGGCAGCCUGCAGCUGCCAAGGCCAGACCUGAAACACGUCCCACUUCCCCAAAGGCUCAGUUGGAAGCCAGUGCUGUUAAUGAAGAACACAGAGAAACCGUGACAGAGAGUAAGAAUGAUCCCACUGCACAAGGGGAGACUGCAGCAUAUGGU